rnacentral:sRNA from 1 species
CUUCCGUAGGGUGAACCUGCGGAGGGAUCAUUACACAAAUAUGAAGGCGGGCUGGAACCUCUCGGGGUUACAGCCUUGCUGAAUUAUUCACCCUUGUCUUUUGCGUACUUCUUGUUUCCUUGGUGGGUUCGCCCACCACUAGGACAAACAUAAACCUUUUGUAAUUGCAAUCAGCGUCAGUAACAAAUUAAUAAUUACAACUUUCAACAACGGAUCUCUUGGUUCUGGCAUCGAUGAAGAACGCAGCGAAAUGCGAUAAGUAGUGUGAAUUGCAGAAUUCAGUGAAUCAUCGAAUCUUUGAACGCACAUUGCGCCCUUUGGUAUUCCAAAGGGCAUGCCUGUUCGAGCGUCAUUUGUACCCUCAAGCUUUGCUUGGUGUUGGGCGUCUUGUCUCUAGCUUUGCUGGAGACUCGCCUUAAAGUAAUUGGCAGCCGGCCUACUGGUUUCGGAGCGCAGCACAAGUCGCACUCUCUAUCAGCAAAGGUCUAGCAUCCAUUAAGCCUUUUUUCAACUUUGACCUCGAUCGUCUGAGACAG